rnacentral:tRNA from 1 species
GCCCGCGUGGCGAAAUUGGUAGACGCGCUAGCUUCAGGAGCUAGUUUCUUCGGAUGUGCUGGUUCGAGUCCAGUCGCGGGCA